UUGCAGCGUUCAGUUUUCCUCCUUAGAUUUAAAAUUUUCCGUGCCUCCCAACUGCUCCUUACGCAAGCCUAGGACCCUCGGGCUGUCAGCCACACUCCCUCCUGCCCCUCAGAUGCAUCCCUGCUGCUAAGAGACUUGGAACCCCAAGGUGAACCCUUGGGCGCUGUGGGGAGACCCACGCUGAUCAAACCCGGGCGGACUGCUGACCCUGGAACCCCGGCCAUGAGUCCCAGGAGCCCAGGGGCGACUGGCUGCAUGAAUACAGUUCAGAUGACUAGAACUGCGACAGAUGAGGGGUUGGACUUUUGCGGGGUGGCCCACCCUCAAGGGGUCGGGGGCAUUUAAAAAUAUAAAAGAUUAUUG
rnacentral:lncRNA from 1 species